CCUACGGGGUGCUGCAGUGGGGAAUAUUGCGCAAUGGGCGAAAGCCUGACGCAGCGACGCCGCGUGAGGGAUGAAGUUCUUCGGAUCGUAAACCUCUGUCAGCAGGGAAGAACGGUCACUGUGCUAAUCAGCAGUGAAUUGACGGUACCUGCAAAGCAAGCACCGGCUAACUCCGUGCCAGCAGCCGCGGUAAUACGGAGGGUGCGAGCGUUAAUCGGAAUUACUGGGCGUAAAGCGCUCGUAGGCGGUAUGUCAAGUCAAGAGUGAAAUCCGCGCGCUCAACGCGUGAACUGCCUUUGAAACUGGCAAACUGGAGUGUGGGAGAGGAUAGUGGAAUUCCAGGUGUAGGAGUGAAAGCCGUAGAUAUCAGGAGGAACAUCAGUGGCGAAGGCGACUAUCUGGCACAUAACUGACGCUGAGGAGCGAAAGCGUGGGUAGCAAACAGGAUUAGAUACCCCAGUAGUC
rnacentral:rRNA from 1 species